rnacentral:lncRNA from 1 species
CCAGCUUCUUGACCUUCAGGAGCAGAUAAGCAAACGAGGUUUUACACAGUGAGAACAAACUCAAGGUUUUACACAGUGAGAACAAACUCAAGCAAAAAUAUGCAUUCAAUGAACAAAAAACCCCCACAUUUUCUUCCCCAAGUGUGAUAUCAUUUUAUGUUGAGCAUAAGUUACGCACAAAAUUCCAUACCAUACCUACAUAGAAUUGGAAACACUCUAUGACCAUACAACUGCACAUCAUCCGUGAGCAUGGAAAGCUCCCAAUACCAUCAAAACAAUUAUUACAAGUAAAAAUUGAAACACAUGCCAUUUCCUGUUAUCUUAACAUGCACGAAAACAAGUUUAUUUUUCAUGGUCAAGCAACAAAACAAGUUUAAAUAAAUGCACACUUG